rnacentral:sRNA from 1 species
AUUAUGCCAAGGAAAUACAAUAUUUUCAUUGUGACACUAAUCGAGUUUGCUGAUAAUCAUUGAAGAUGAUUGGGCUGGGGCCUGCAUGCUACAACACUGACCUAAUGGUGUGAUUACUGCACAAGACCUGAAUAAAAUCAAGCCAGUCAAAAGCCUAAUGCAAAUGGGGGAGAGACACCUAGCCCCACCUUCUCAGAAGAACUAUUAGCAGUUGAUGACUGCUGAGGGAGAAAGGAUCAAGUCACUCUCCUUUGGGGAUGUUGCAACUGGUAAGUUUCUCAUGUCUCAGCUGAAAAGUCAUAUACCUAUAUACAUAUGGGCAGCUAAUUGAACUCAGUGUUAUCAAUAACAGAAACAAAAUAUAAAACGAGACACAAAGAUGAGUAGGGUGCACUAUGGGAAAUUGAAGAGAGAUAGUGUGAUAGAAAGAUAUGAUCAAUAUAUCCUUUUUAAAUGUAUGGGAUUUACAAUAUAUUGUUAAAAAUGUACCCCCCCAAAGUCAUUUCUAAACCCAGUGUCUGAAAGAUUAGGUACUCAAGAGAAGACCCUGAAGUGGGAUUUCCUAUGAGAAUUGUGUUAGAAGAAAUGUUGGCCAAAGAUGGGAGGACAGACAAGAAGCCAGGUGAGGCUGAGCAAGGCGAAAUUUCAGGCAAACACACAGAGCCAAGUCCAGUGGGUCCUACAGUCAGACCCACUGAAUUUUUUUCAUCAGCUUGACUCUGGUACUUAUGGGACUUUUUUUUUGCAGCAGAGAGAAUUAGAAUCCCACACUCUUAAUAUAUGAUCUCUCUUCCUGGCAAUAUAAUCAGAUGUUUCAUCCCAAGGUGAUGUCCACUUUGUCUGAAAUCCUGCUAGACACGCACAAGCAGCCCUCCACUGGAAUCAACUGUGGCCUUGCCUGCAGGG